GGGGUGGCUUCAUGGACAUGGCAUCUGCCCGGUAAGCGGAACACUGUGGGUUCGAUUCCCAUCCCUGGACA